rnacentral:rRNA from 1 species
AAUAGAUACCCCGGUAGUCCACGCCGUAAACGAUGAGUGCUAAGUGUUAGAGGGUUUCCGCCCUUUAGUGCUGAAGUUAACGCAUUAAGCACUCCGCCUGGGGAGUACGGCCGCAAGGCUGAAACUCAAAGGAAUUGACGGGGGCCCGCACAAGCGGUGGAGCAUGUGGUUUAAUUCGAAGCAACGCGAAGAACCUUACCAGGUCUUGACAUCCUCUGACAACCCUAGAGAUAGGGCUUCUCCUUCGGGAGCAGAGUGACAGGUGGUGCAUGGUUGUCGUCAGCUCGUGUCGUGAGAUGUUGGGUUAAGUCCCGCAACGAGCGCAACCCUUGAUCUUAGUUGCCAGCAUUCAGUUGGGCACUCUAAGGUGACUGCCGGUGACAAACCGGAGGAAGGUGGGGAUGACGUCAAAUCAUCAUGCCCCUUAUGACCUGGGCUACACACGUGCUACAAUGGAUGGUACAAAGAGCUGCGAACCCGCGAGGGUAAGCGAAUCUCAUAAAGCCAUUCUCAGUUCGGAUUGUAGG